rnacentral:rRNA from 1 species
UCGGGAAUUUUGGGCAAUGGGCGAAAGCCUGACCCAGCAACGCCGCGUGAAGGAUGAAGUAUUUCGGUAUGUAAACUUCGAAAGAAUAGGAAGAAUAAAUGACGGUACUAUUUAUAAGGUCCGGCUAACUACGUGCCAGCAGCCGCGGUAAUACGUAGGGACCAAGCGUUGUUCGGAUUUACUGGGCGUAAAGGGCGCGUAGGCGGCAAUUCAAGUCAUCUGUGAAAUCUCCGGGCUUAACUCGGAACGGUCAGAUGAUACUGCUUUGCUAGAGUGCAGAAGGGGCAAUCGGAAUUCUUGGUGUAGCGGUGAAAUGCGUAGAUAUCAAGAGG